CCACCGGGAAUUACUUCGGAUCAUUGGAGAUGGUUCCUUGAUUAUCGCAAUAGUGAAGAAACAAAGGAGAAGUGUAGAAAAAAUGCUGAGAAUCGAUCAAAGCAGUUAUACACUCAUACUGGCGGAUCGAAAAGCUUGGCAAGGCUCGGAGAAGAAGAGGAAAGAAUUGCGGAGAUUGAGCAACAUGAUGAAUCAUCUAGACUGUUGUCUCAGAAUGAUUCACUUGCUCAAACUCUUGGAAAGGAGCACCUAGGUAGAGUG